rnacentral:rRNA from 1 species
AUUGAACGCUGGCGGCAGGCUUAACACAUGCAAGUCGAGCGGGGGAAGGUAGCUUGCUACUGGACCUAGCGGCGGACGGGUGAGUAAUGCUUAGGAAUCUGCCUAUUAGUGGGGGACAACAUCUCGAAAGGGAUGCUAAUACCGCAUACGUCCUACGGGAGAAAGCAGGGGAUUUUCGGACCUUGCGCUAAUAGAUGAGCCUAAGUCGGGUUAGCUAGUUGGUGGGGUAAAGGCCUACCAAGGCGACGAUCUGUAGCGGGUCUGAGAGGAUGAUCCGCCACAAUGGGACUGGGACACGGCCCAGAGUCCGACGGGAGGCAGCAGUGGGGAAUAAUGGACAAUGGGGGGAACCCUGAUCCAGCCAUACCGCGUGUGUGAAGAAGGCCUUAUGGUUGUAAAGCACUUUAAGCGAGGAGGAGGCUACUUUAGUUAAUACCUAGAGAUAGUGGACGUUACUCGCAGAAUAAGCACCGGCUAACUCUGUGCCAGCAGCCGCCGUAA